rnacentral:rRNA from 1 species
GACGAACGCUGGCGGCGCGCCUAACACAUGCAAGUCGAACGAGCGAGAGAGAGCUUGCUUUCUCAAGCGAGUGGCGAACGGGUGAGUAACGCGUGAGGAACCUGCCUCAAAGAGGGGGACAACAGUUGGAAACGACUGCUAAUACCGCAUAAGCCCACAGGUCGGCCUCGACCAGAGGGAAAAGGAGCAAUCCGCUUUGAGAUGGCCUCGCGUCCGAUUAGCUAGUUGGUGAGGUAACGGCCCACCAAGGCAACGAUCGGUAGCCGGACGGAGAGGUUGAACGGCCACAUUGGGACUGGGACACGGCCCAGACUCCUACGGGAGGCAGGAGUGGGGAAUAUUGCACAAUGGGGGAAACCCUGAUGCAGCGACGCCGCGUGGAGGAAGAAGGUCUUCGGAUUGUAAACUCCUGUUGUUGAGGAAGAUAAUGACGGUACUCAACAAGGAAGUGACGGCUAACUACGUG